rnacentral:lncRNA from 13 species
AUGGAUGAAGAUGAGAUGUUGUUCUUGGGCAUAUGUCCUGCUUAUGCACAGGAAAUACAAGGAAGAUGCACGUCCUCGGGAAAAUCACAGCAAAUGCACCACACCUGCUCUGCGCCGACUCUGUGCCCAGUACCUUCCUUGAUGAACUCAUCGGUCUCUCAGCACCACUUUGAGGAAGGGUCUGCGGGUCUCCUGUUACGGAUGAAUAACCUGAAGCGCAGAGAGCAGGCACCCGCUCCAUCUUCAGAACCAAGGGCUCCUGUGUGCCACUUGCCCACCUGCAGCCACUGCCAUCAGCCCCUGCUGAGUUCCCAAGGCGUGGUUGUACUGCACAGUGAUUAGGGGUACAGGAAACUCCCACGGUAGGAGCCUGCCUCUGCCAAUGACCAGCUGGUUGUCCUGCCUUCUCUGAACCUCAGUC